UUGAACAUACCCACUGAUACAUAUUCACUUUACACACUGUCUCUAACACAAACACACACCUCACACCUCGGCGACGCAGCUAGAGAUUAGGGUUCAAGCUGAAGCUGGAGAUUAGGGUUCAAGUUGAAGCUCGUUUCUUCAAUUAGGGGUCUGAGUGGGGUGCAAUCAAUUGGGGAUUAUCAAAUCGAGCUCAAUUAGGGAUAUUAUCAGGUAUUACUUUUAAUUUUAACCUCUUCAUUUGUAUCUAUUUGCAGGGAUUGAGAUUUUGUAUGUGCAGAAAUUGAGAUGAUGUAUGUGUAUGUACUCUGUAGUUUGUUCUCUCUCUCUCUCUCUCUCUCUCUCUCUCUCUCUCUCUCUCUCUCUCUCUCUGUGGAGAUUAGGGUUCAAGCUGAAGCUCGUUUCUUCAAUUAGGGGUCUGAUUGGGGUGCAGUCAAUUGGGUAUUCUUAAAUCGAGCUCAAUUAGCGAUAUUAUCAGAGAAUUUGAUAGCUGAUGAGUUCUCUGCUGAGAUUGCUGAUGGUGUGGCUUAUGUUUCCGGCUACGAUGAUGAAUCCAGGCCUGUCUUGAUUUUCCGAAUCAAGCAAGACUGUCACAAGUUUCAUUCACAGAAGAUGUUGGCUCGACUGGUGGUGUUUACACCGGAGGUUGCAAUACAAAUCAUGGAAAAAAAUGUGGAGCAAUUUGUCGAAGUUAACUAUUUAACUAUAGUAUUAGACUUUGAAGUAGUAUAUGUUUUUGGUUGGAUGAUUGGUUUGUGUGUAUUUGAUGGGAUGAUUUGGUAUUGAUGAAAUUAUAAUAUCAAGUUAUUUUAUUU